AACCUGGAAAAUAAAUAUAUGAAAUGCAACGUAUGUAGAGGUCACAAUAUAGCAUAAGUAUAUCAACAUGAUGAACAGCUUUGAUGAAAAUGGUAAACAAAACCACCCUCUCUUCCUGUGGCUUGUUUUACAUUGCAAUAAACCACUGACUCUAUAACCUAUCAGAACAUGCUGAGAUUUUAUGCAUCAUUUCCAACUACUAUUUGAACAUUUGGUUUAGAGUAGUCAUGAACCAUAAUUAAUGGGAUUUUUUUGUGUGUGUGUCCUGAUAAAAAGCAAGCUUUAUUGUAUUUUAUUACCUGUUGGUCCAAAGCUCCAUAUAGAUGAUGUAAAUUCACUGUAGGUUUUAGGCUGGGGAAAAAGAGGAGGUGGGGGUUUUGCACAUGACUAUGAUGAAUUAACGUUUACAUUUCUAAUCAAACCCAGAGGUUUAGCUUGAGAUGCCCAGUCCAAAUUUUCUUUGCUCUUGUGAGUGAGUUGGUAGCGAUGGGACACAGAGAUUUUGGCCCAGCUCAGCCUACCAGGAGGAAAGGGGAAAAAAUCCCCAACAACCCAGGCACCACAAAGACCAUGGAGAUGAAUGGCUCUAUUUUAUGAGCCAUAAAAGUUUUAUUCAUCUUGACACCGAAACAGGUUUAGGCAGCGAGUUGACACGCCUUAAAUAAAUAAGUGGAAUUAAUUCUCCAGCUCUUGAAACAAUAGCAGCAUGCCCAUAACGCUGAGAGCUGCCCCGUUGUUUCCCGUUGCUGCUCGAUAUUGAUAUUAUUUGUGGGUUGUUUUUUUUUUCCUCUGGGGCCUGGUUUCUCCACUUCAGAUUCUUCCCCUGUUUUAUUAGAGGUUGAAAAAGGUUCAAGACCUGGUUGUACCACUGCUCCCACCGACAGCUAAAGAACCAGUUUGGCGUCUGGUUUGUCUGUUGUUUUACUGCUGACCUUCAAAUCAACUUUCCCCUCUGACCCCAGGAGGCAUCUAUCAUGACAAGAGGCUGUUUAACACAAAUGGUGCCCAUUUAUAGGGGAAGAGAGUCAGAAGAUUUCCUUGGUUGUUGGUUUUUUUUGUUUUCUUUUUUUUUUUAAUGAAGAAUUUGGUUUUUUCACCCCUCUUUUCUCAGUCACCACAGGUGAAAUCCCUCCUAGCAGCUGGCUUAUGAAAUAAUGCAAGGGGAGGCCUUAAUGAGCUGAAAGCACCCUCAGCUGGAGAUAAAUAUAUGCAAAUGAGAUGCACAAACAAAGGAGCCCGGACAGAGAAAUAUCUGCAAUUCCAGCAAAAUGCUGCCUGCAGCUAGAAGAUGAACAGCUUUGAUAAAAUGUUUUGCAGCAGGAUGAGAAACCAGGGAGAAAAGUAUUCCUGUUGCUGAAGGGGCUUUCCCUUUUCCUGUGGCUGCAAAAACUCACCGGCUGCUGUUAAUACAAAACUAAUGGCAAGAGCGCGAUCCGGAGAGCCAGCCUGCUAUCAGCUGCAUUUCAAUGGAGGCUUUCUCGAAAAAUAGGUACAAAGAAAAGAAUUUAGACAAAUUUGCCUCUUAACCUUUAAAGAUUUCCUGCCUAUUCCAGUAUGUCCUUUAUUACAUUAAUUUUUUAUUUAAAUUACACCAUUAACUGGAUAUGAAUUUAUCAAGAAUACAUAUAUUGAUUUAUAAAACAGUAUCAUUAAUUAUUAUAAUAGCUAGAUGUAGCUGAUAUUACAAAGCCAUUUAAAGGUUUUUAAUAUAACUUGGACAUACAUAGAUAGAUAGACAUUAUGGACAAGACUACAAUUUAAACUGGCUACCAGCAGUUAAUGAAAUCCUUGAUUUAUCUUCUCAUUUAGAGAUUGAUUAUAUUGUUGCUUUGUAAAACUAUUUAUUUUAUGCCAUUUUUCAAAGGAUGUCUCAAUAAAAGAAAAAGAUAAAUAAAACAUCCAGCCUAGUC